UACGUAGGGUGCGAGCGUUAAUCGGAAUUACUGGGCGUAAAGCGUGCGCAGGCGGUUUGUUAAGACAGAUGGGAAAUCCCCGGGCUUAACCUGGGAACUGCAUUUGUGACUGGCAAGCUAGAGUAUGGCAGAGGGGGGUAGAAUUCCACGUGUAGCAGUGAAAUGCGUAGAGAUGUGGAGGAAUACCGAUGGCGAAGGCAGCCCCCUGGGCCAAUACUGACGCUCAUGCACGAAAGCGUGGGGAGCAAACAGG
rnacentral:rRNA from 1 species